rnacentral:rRNA from 1 species
CCUACGGGUGACAGCAGUGGGGAAUAUUGCACAAUGGGGGAAACCCUGAUGCAGCGACGCCGCGUGAGUGAAGAAGGACUUCGGGAUGUAAAGCUCUAUCAGCAGGGAAGAAAAUGACGGUACCUGAGUAAGAAGGCCCGGCUAACUACGUGCCAGCAGCCGCGGUAAUACGUAGGGGGCAAGCGUUAGCCGGAUUUACUGGGUGUAAAGGGAGCGUAGACGGCCAGACAAGUCAGAAGGGCAAGCCCAGGGCUCCACCCUGGGACUGCUUUUGAAACUGCCGGGCUGGAGUGCAGGAGAGGUAAGCGGCAUUCCUAGUGUAGCCGUGCAAUCCGUCGAUAUUAGCAGGAACACCAGUGGCGUAGGCGGCUUACUGGACUGUACCUGCCGUUGAGGCUCGAAAGCGUGGGGAGCAAACAGGAUUAGAUACCCCAGUAGUC